rnacentral:rRNA from 1 species
UACGUAGGGGGCAAGCGUUGUCCGGAAUCAUUGGGCGUAAAGCGCGUGUAGGCGGCUCGAUAAGUCUGCUGUGAAAGCCCCGGGCUCAACCUGGGAACUGCAUUUGAGACUGGAGGACUUGAGGACGGGAGAGGAGAGUGGAAUUCCCAGUGUAGAGGUGAAAUUCGUAGAUAUUGGGAAGAACACCGAUGGCGAAGGCAGCUCUCUGGACCGUUACUGACGCUGAGGCGCGAAAGCGUGGGGAGCAAACAGG